rnacentral:rRNA from 1 species
AAGGUAGCGAAAUUCCUUGUCGGGUAAGUUCCGACCCGCACGAAUGGUGUAACGAUCUGGGCACUGUCUCAACUACCCACCCGGCGAAAUUGUAGUACCGGUGAAGAUGCCGGUUACCUGCGGCAAGACGGAAAGACCCCAUGGAGCUUUACUGUAGCCUGAUAUUGGGUUUCGGAAAUCUAUGUACAGGAUAGGCGGGAGACUUGGAAACAUGAGCGUCAGCUUGUGUGGAGUCGAUGUUGGGAUACCGCCCUUAGGUUUCUGGAAUUCUAACCUGCGGCCGUGAAUCCGGUCGGGGGACAUUGUCAGGUGGGCAGUUUGACUGGGGCGGUCGCCUCCGAAAAGGUAACGGAGGCGCUCAAAGGUUAGCUCAGCACGGACGGAAACCGUGCCUCUGAGUGUAAACGCAAAAGCUAGCCUAACUGCGAGGGUGACGGCCCGAGCAGUAACGAAAGUUGGAGUUAGUGAUCCGGCGGUAUGUGAAUGGAAAUGCCGUCGCUCAACGGAUAAAAGCUACCCUGGGGAUAACAGGCUGAUCUCCCCCAAGAGUCCACAUCGACGGGGAGGUUUGGCACCUCGAUGUCGGCUCAUCACAUCCUGGGGCUGUAUUCGGUCCCAAGGGUUCGGCUGUUCGCCGAUUAAAGUGGUACGCGAGCUGGGUUCAGAACGUCGCGAGACAGUUCGGUCCCUAUCUGUCGUGGGCGCAGGAUAUUUGAGGAGCUCUGUCCUUAGUACGAGAGGACCGGGAUGGACGUACCUCUGGUGCACCAGUUGUCAUGCCAAUGGCACGGCUGGGCAGCUAUGUACGGAACGGAUAAACGCUGAAAGCAUCUAAGCGUGAAGCCGACUCCAAGAUUAGAUAUCCCAUCGUAUAACGAGUAAGACCCCUUGAAGACUACGAGGUUGAUAGGCUGCGUGUGUAAGUGCCGUGAGGCAUUCAGCUUGGCAGUACUAAUAGGUCGAGGGCUUGACCAC